rnacentral:rRNA from 1 species
AGUCGAACGCUUUUUCUUUCACCGGAGCUUGCUCCAUCGAAAGAAAAAGAGUGGCGAACGGGUGAGUAACACGUGGGUAACCUGCCCAUCAGAAGGGGAUAACACUUGGAAACAGGUGCUAAUACCGUAUAACACUAUUUUCCGCAUGGAAGAAAGUUGAAAGGCGCUUUUGCGUCACUGAUGGAUGGACCCGCGGUGCAUUAGCUAGUUGGUGAGGUAACGGCUCACCAAGGCCACGAUGCAUAGCCGACCUGAGAGGGUGAUCGGCCACACUGGGACUGAGACACGGCCCAGACUCCUACGGGAGGCAGCAGUAGGGAAUCUUCGGCAAUGGACGAAAGUCUGACCGAGCAACGCCGCGUGAGUGAAGAAGGUUUUCGGAUCGUAAAACUCUGUUGUUAGAGAAGAACAAGGAUGAGAGUAGAACGUUCAUCCCUUGACGGUAUCUAACCAGAAAGCCACGGCUAACUACGUGCCAGCAGCCGCGGUAAUACGUAGGUGGCAAGCGUUGUCCGGAUUUAUUGGGCGUAAAGCGAGCGCAGGCGGUUUCUUAAGUCUGAUGUGAAAGCCCCCGGCUCAACCGGGGAGGGUCAUUGGAAACUGGGAGACUUGAGUGCAGAAGAGGAGAGUGGAAUUCCAUGUGUAGCGGUGAAAUGCGUAGAUAUAUGGAGGAACACCAGUGGCGAANNCGGCUCUCUGGUCUGUAACUGACGCUGAGGCUCGAAAGCGUGGGGAGCGAACAGGAUUAGAUACCCUGGUA